UAAUUGUGCACACAAAAAAAUUAAAUUCCUUUCUCCUCUCCCCCUCAUAUUCUAUAUUCUGUCUCCAAUCUAAAUAUACUACACAUACACAAAACACAAAUUAGGUUAUCCCCUUCAUACACACAUAAACAAACCCUAGAUCCUCUUACUCUCCCUCUCGAUACAUUUCAGCAAACCACACAAGCAGAGACAUCUCAACCACUCCCUCAUUCCCCUCUUAAGCCCAGCCGACAGCCCCCUCCCCCUCUCUUCUCCGACGAAACAGCCGGCUGGUACCGGUGGUCUUCUCCGACGAACGACUCACCCCCCCCCCUCUUGAACAACAAAACGAACCACCACCACCACUGUCUGGUGGUGGUGCGGCAGUUACACAACAGGAGAGAGAGAGGAGUGAAGAUGGAGAGUGGCGAAGCGCGGAGGAGCUCCAGUGGAUCCGGCAACAACAACUGAGAACCCGGCGGUGACCGGUGGAUUUUUCCGACGGCGGCGCCGUCAUGAUCGGCGGCGGAGACUUCUGUUCGAGGUGAGAGAGAGAGAGCAGUGAAGAACCAACAAGAGGCACGACGGCCGGCAACAAUCCGGUGAAAGUUUCCGUUUCAGUUCAACAAAGAGUUAGGGUGGUGGCUCGGUUUAGUCACAGUUCAGCUCAGCGGAUUUCUAAGUCUCGGUACGAUGAUUCGUGUAUUCAUCCGACGAAUUUUCACCGCGAGUUGACUCGGUCAACUCAACCGAGUCAACUCGGCCAACAGCAGCGAGUCAACUCAGCUUUUGGGUCAGCGGUUCUGGUCGACAGUUUGGUUCGGGUCAGCCGGUUCUGGUCGGAUUAGGAAGCGGUUCGGAUCCACACGAGUCAACCCGGUUGACUCGGUCAACACAUUCGACAUUUCAACACGAAGAUUUGGUAAAGAUUAUCGGCGUGUUUAAUAUUUAAGUUAUAUUUUAGUUAUAAUUCUCACGUGACAACGAGCUCGAACGAGUGUGAUUAUAGUUUACAUUGACAUAUUUGACGAACAUUUUUAUACAUAUUGUUUGUGUUGAGUUAUUGAUUUCA